GCCUCGUUAGCUCAGUUGGUAGAGCGUCAGCGCGUUUCCGAGGAAACGCACCGUCAAACCUUGGUAAGGUGAAGGCCCCGAGUUCGACUCUCGGACGAGGCU
rnacentral:tRNA from 1 species